UUGCUAUGUAGGUUAGUUUCCAUUUUCAAGUAGUUUCAUUAAUUAUUUGAAUUUUUCUUUAUAUUAGACAUGUAAUGGAUGGAGGACCGCAGUUUUCGAUUUGAAUGAAUUUGAAGAAUUGAAAUUUGGUAUGAAAACCAUAGCUACUGUGUGCUGUUUUCCCUCUUCCUGACUUUCUGAGAUCUUCUCUUUCCCCUUUUAAUCUUCUUCUUCCUCCCAACCCUUUCUUAUUUCCUGCUGUUGAAUUUUCUGGUACUCUGUUUUCUGGGCGACAGUUGCAGCCCUAGUUUAGAGGAUCGAUCUCCCUAGAUACCCCCUCAGAUGAGCCUGAAACUUGGGGCGUGAGAACCUCUCUCCUAGGCGACCUGAACCCUAGAGUUUCAGCCUCAAAGGUCUUUCCAUUGGUGGGGAACAAGACCUGCAACCAAGCUGAACCCAAACCUGCUGCCUGAUCUGAGUUGCAGGUGCAACCGCUCCCCUUUGUGUGCUGUUUAGUGACACCUACCUGUUGGAUUCAAGAGAGCACUGGGUGCUCAGCCUACGCCUGAAGUUUCAUGGCCAUCCGACAAGAUUUGAAGGAGUUCUCUGCAUCGAAGCCUUGCUGGUCUACCGCCUUAGCCUGGUGUUCCAUCGAGAAGAAGAAGAAAGGUUCUCCUAUGGGUUUUAAAUAAACAAUUGCAGUUAUUGCAGUUAAGCCCUUGUUUCUAGUUAUAUUCUGUUAUUCCCCCUUCUCUUUGCAUGGGGGUCUCUGGUCCAGUUCCAGAGCCGAUGGUGAUCAUUGUGAUGACUUCAGCAGUACUUGCCAUUGCAGAAGUUGCUCAAUCCCAGAUUCUUUAAACAGCCAGACUUACUGCCUCACAAUGGUGUGAUUGGCUUUGCAGCCAUAUGGGGUCCAUUCCUAAGCUGCUUUUCUAGUUACUUCUGCUGGAAUUGUUCAGUUUCUCACAAUUUGUGAAGAUGGGAGAUAGUGUUUCCACUUGCAUCUGCAUUGUCUGUUCUAAAUUGCUGGCUGCUGCUCAGGAGCCUUGAGUGCGCUUCCUAUCAUGCUCUUGCAAUCACUCACCACUCAAAGAAGAAAAUGGUGAUUUUGAAGUUGAAACAAGAGUCUGAAAUUGUUGGUCGUAGCAUUGGCAAUUGGAAUAUAUCUUGCUGCCAAGUGCAUCCAUUACCAUCAUUUGACAUGGAUGUAAAAUUAGCUUCACUACCAUCUCUUAUAAUGGUAACACUUUUGAAUUGAAAAGCCCUUUUUAGGUUUUCGUUUGAUUUUGACUUGGAUCACAGGUUGAAACUAUGUUUUCAGUCUUUGUUUCUUGUGAAAUCCAGUGUCAGUUGUAAUUUUUGUAUAUACCAAUGGAUAACAUCACAGGCUCACUUCUUGAAACUUAAGAAUAUGUAAAUAGAGGGUGAAGAAGGCGUAUGGUCAUGUCAAAAUGCUUAUAAUCACUUUUCUCAUACACAUUUUUUUUUUUUUUUGGUAUGAACUUUUCUCACACAUUGAAUCAUAAUCAUGUUUGACAUGUAUUUAUAUUUGCAAAUUGAUCAUGUUCUCUAAUACCCUAUGGCAACAGUUUUUCCACAUCGGCUCGCUUGGAGAGGUUUUCUAUGUGGGUGGAUCGGCCAUUUGUUGCAAUGUCUAAUGGUGAUGUAGAUUCUACCAGGAAAGUAAUAGCAUUAGAGCUCAAUAAUGUAGCAGCAAAAAAUGAUUAAAAUGUUGUCUAAAUAUUUGCAACCUGUGAUAUUCAUUUAUAUUUGAACAAAAAUUGGCAAAA